rnacentral:rRNA from 1 species
AACGAACGCUGGCGGCAGGCCUAACACAUGCAAGUCGAGCGAGGACUCCGGUCCUAGCGGCGGACGGGUGAGUAACGCGUGGGAACGUGCCCUUGGCUUCGGAAUAGCCCUGGGAAACUGGGAGUAAUACCGGAUGAGCCCUUUGGGGGAAAGAUUUAUCGGCGAAGGAUCGGCCCGCGUUGGAUUAGGUAGUUGGUGGGGUAAUGGCCUACCAAGCCGACGAUCCAUAGCUGGUUUGAGAGGAUGAUCAGCCACACUGGGACUGAGACACGGCCCAGACUCCUACGGGAGGGAGCAGUGGGGAAUCUUAGACAAUGGAGGAAACCCUGAUCUAGCCAUGCCGCGUAAGCGAUGAAGGCCUUAGGGUUGUAAAGCUCUUUCAGCUGGGAAGAUAAUGACGGUACCAGCAGAAGAAGCCCCGGCUAACUCCGUG